rnacentral:rRNA from 1 species
GAUUAACGCUUGCGGCAUGCCUAAGACAUGCAAGUCGAACGAGAAGGCCCAUUGAUGUAGAUUGAAGUUGGAGUGCUUGCACAAAAAUGGAUUUCUAUUGAUUUGGAUUUUCCUUCUAGUGGCAAACGGGUGAGUAACACGUGGGUUACCUACCUCUAAGUUGGGGAUAUCAUCUGGAAACGGAUAGUAAUACCGAAUGUGAACUACGGUUUAAAGAAGCCUUUAAAGCUUCGCUUAGAGAUGGGCCUGCGGUGCAUUAGCUAGUUGGUGAGAUAAUAGCCCACCAAGGCAACGAUGCAUAGCCGAACUGAGAGGUUGAUCGGCCACACUGGGACUGAGACACGGCCCAG